GAGGUAGCUCAGUUGGUUAGGGCGUGGUGCUGAUAACCCCAAGGUUGCAGGUUUGACACCUAUAUGGUACA